rnacentral:tRNA from 1 species
GGCUGUGGCUCAGUGGUAGAGCACUUGCCUAGCACAUAUGAGGCACUGGGUUCGACUGUCAGCACCA